rnacentral:rRNA from 1 species
AGCGAACGCUGGCGGCAGGCCUAACACAUGCAAGUCGAACGAAGUCUUCGGACUUAGUGGCGGACGGGUGAGUAACACGUGGGAACGUACCUUUUGGUUCGGAACAACUCAGGGAAACUUGAGCUAAUACCGGAUGAGCCCUUAGGGGGAAAGAUUUAUCGCCGAAAGAGCGGCCCGCGUUAGAUUAGCUAGUUGGUGAGGUAAAGGCUCACCAAGGCUACGAUCUAUAGCUGGUCUGAGAGGAUGAUCAGCCACACUGGGACUGAGACACGGCCCAGACUCCUACGGGAGGCAGCAGUGGGGAGUCUUGCGCAAUGGGCGAAAGCCUGACGCAGCCAUGCCGCGUGAAUGAUGAAGGUCUUAGGAUUGUAAAAUUCUUUUACCAGGGACGAUAAUGACGGUACCUGGAGAAAAAGCCCCGGCUAACUUCGUGCCAGCAGCCGCGGUAA